rnacentral:lncRNA from 1 species
UUUCAGCUUUGGGGACUUCCAAAAUGUUGGCAAACACAGCUCCAGCUGGCCUGGGGCCUGUGGCUUCUCCAUCAGCAGCAAGUGCCAGAGCCAGCAGCGGCAGAAGGCUCCAUUCCCGAGCACCGGCGGCUUCUCGGCGCUAAUGAGGCGGCGGCUGCUGCAGCAGGUGCCGCUCCUCUCCUCACGGCCACGGCUCCCGCUGCGGGGCUCGGGGGGCUCGGGGGACGCGGGGCUGCUGCAGGAGCAGCGAGCGUACUGCCAGCUGCACGGCUGGAAAAGCCGCAGCACCCCUGCGAGCUGCUCCUGCUCUCCCGGGGGGGAACACACACGCUGAGGGGCUCAGGCCGAGGGCGGGCCCGGCUGGGCCCCGAGCGCCGCCUCCUGCGGCCCUGCCAGCCAGCGAGCGGCCUGCGCAAACACCGGCGGCGGCGCAGCUGCUGCCGCCAGCGCCGGGGAAAACAAGCCAUUAAAUAGCUGAUCUAUCAAGUUUAAGCUAGAUGCCAAAGCAGAAAUAAACGUCUGUUAGACUGCCUAUUUUGUUUGGUU